rnacentral:lncRNA from 1 species
CCGCAGAGAGAAGCAAGUUAGGAGCUUCCAAUGGCACCUGCUUUUCUGGGACAAGUGCCAUCUGGAAUCAGGCGGUUUCCUCACUGUGUGCCUAUUUCUGGACAAAGGAGAAGAGAAUUGGAUCAGAUGCAGGCAUCCUCUCCCAUAUCCUCCAGCUGCCUGGCAGACCCAAUGAAGAUGCCCCACUCCCGCUCAGCUGGCUUACUUGGCCGCUGGGAGUGGGACACGUGUGGAAUUGCACCCCAACUUCCUGCACAACACCAUCAGUCAAUCAGAUACUCGGGCCACGCAUGGAGACAAUGUCCUGAAACGCAUCCUUGUGGCUCCCCCCUCCUCGGUUCUUGCAUCGGUCUUGAGCUGGCUCCUCUUGUGGCAGCUCAGUGGCUGCAGCCUGUCCAGAGCCCCCAGUUGUCCCCACACCACCUGGAGCAGAAAUGUCCCCUCCAGAGACCUCAGGGACCAGAAAGGAAGCUGGGACUCCUAUCCAGCAGCCAGGGCCACUAUCUCCUGUGUCUCCAUAGCUCACACCAGGCCUCAAACUGCUCCCUGGACAGCGGCUGCAGGAGGACAGAGGUGGAUGUCAAGAUGGGGGGACAGGGACUGGAUGUGGAGAGACCUUCCCCCAAGUUCACCAGGGGACCACUUUUACUUCUUACAUUAAUUUUUUUUUUUUUUUUUUUUUUUUACUAUGAGUAGGUAAUGCCUUUAAAGUAACCCAUAAGAAACAAGAAGCUCUCACUUUAGAUCUGACCAAGUCUUUCCACCGAGGGCUGAUUUAGGAAUAGAAGAAACACUGACUUCUCUUGGGGGGGAAGAAAUGAGGGGGUGCCCCAGAGAAGCCGGCUUCUGCCUGGAAGGGGUCAGGAUGGGGGAAGCUGGAGGCUGCUGUGGGACGGCGCCCCCCUCAAGGGCCAGUGGAGGAAAUACAUCUAGGGGAAGAGCUGGCAAGAAGAGGGGCUGCAAAUUGUCAACGUUGUUCUAUUUUUAUGCAAUAAAUGUUACACAGAAAUAGUCAUGUUUUAACGGAAACAAAUGCUACUAUUACUUAACAAAGGUUAACAAUAAAAGGCAUUAUUCCCUGGCAAUCUGCAUACCAUCUAAAAGGGAAAAACUAUUUUGUAACUCAGAAGCAUACAUUUUGAUAAUAGGAGCAUUUUACAGAGUAGGUUGGACACAUAGUCCUGUGGCUAACGUUCUUGCGUGUGUUCUUAAAUACCCAAUACAUUACAACAUUUAGGACAAGAAAGGGGAUGGAAUUCAGCAGAAAUCUGUUAUCUAAAUAAUGCAUGGUUAUGGCUUCGAGGUAAAAUAUGCUGUUGUCAAAACUGUUUAAGAAUAACUUAAAUGCUUCUGAUAGGAAAGGUUUUGGGCAAUAUUUCUUAACAUGUUGUGCUCAACUUAGCUAUGGAGGAAAACCACACGUUCGCUGGGGCGUUUCCCCUUGUGAAGGCCAAAAGCUUUUCCCACCCAAAGCGUGCAAGUUGCUUUCUUGGACCUCCAGCUAUAGCUCUCAUGAGGCAGGAACCCCAAAACAGCAAAAGGCGAGGGAAAGGCAAGUGGAUGCCAAUAACUCCAGGAUCCUGGCAAUCUCUGGUUGUUGUUUGUUUCCUGUCUACAAAUAGUAGUCAUUGGUAUAGGCAGGUCCCGAUAAAUUGAUACAAUGAGCACUUUAAGGUUCACCAUCAAAAAAACACCAAAGGUGGGGGCCAGCCUGGUGGUGCAGCAAUUAAGUUUGCAUGUUCUGCUUUGGUGGCCCAGGCUUCGCCAGUUCGGAUCCCAGGUGUGGGCAUGGCACCACUUGGCAAGCCAUGCUGUGGUAGGCAUCCCAUAUAUAAAGUAGAGGGAGAUGGGCACAGAUGUUAGCUCAGGGCCAGUCUUCCUCAGCAGAAAGAAGAUGAUUGGCAGCAGAUGUUAGCUCAGCACUAAUCUUCCUCAAAAACAAAAAACAUAUGAUUAAGUUAAGGAUCUUGAGAUGGGGAGAUUAUCCUGGAUUAUCCAGGUGGGCCUUAAAUGCAAUCCCAAGGAUCUUUAUAAGAGAGAGACAGAGGGAGAUUUUACUCACCUAGCUGAGAAGAAGGCCAUGUGACCACAGAGACAGAGAUUGGAGCUACGUGGUCACAAGCCAAGUGACACUGGCAGCCACCAGAAGCUGAAGGAGUGAAGGCACAGAUUCUCCUCUCGAGCUUCAGGAGGGAGCGUGGCCCUGGCCACACCUUGAUUUGCCCCCAGUGAAACUGAUUUUGGACUUCUGGCCUCCAGAACCAAGAAGGAGUAAAUUGCUGUUGUUUUAAGACACUAAAUUAGUGGUAAUUUGUGACAGCAGCCGCAGGAAAGAAAUACAACCACUGACUGUCUUGGGCAGGGUUGCAAGCAAGGGAAAUUCCACGUGGUUAACUCUACUCAGAAAGCAACUCACAGGAGAUCUAUUGGAGAGCUCUAAGAAUCAAGGACAUGAAGAAGGGCAAGUCUAAGCAUCCGAGCGGAUCUCAUUGACGUGUUGGCGGGGGUCUACACUGCAGUGAUAAAGCUCCAGCCAUAUGUUCUUGUCAGGCAUGUUCUGUGGACCAGGCACUAGGCAAAGACCUUUCCAUACC